rnacentral:rRNA from 1 species
GACAGAGGUGGCAAGCGUUGUUCGGAUUCAUUGGGUGUAAAGGGCAGGUAGGCGGCCUAGUAAGUCUGACGUGAAAUCCCACGGCUCAACCGUGGAACUGCGUUGGAAACUGCUUGGCUUGAGUGUCGGAGAGGUAAGGGGAAUUCUCGGUGUAAGGGUGAAAUCUGUAGAUAUCGAGAGGAACACCAGUGGCGAAGGCGCCUUACUGGCCGAUUACUGACGCUGAGCUGCGAAAGCAAGGGGAGCAAACAGG